AGUGAACGCUGGCGGUAGGCCUAACACAUGCAAGUCGAACGGCAGCACAGUAAGAGCUUGCUCUUACGGGUGGCGAGUGGCGGACGGGUGAGGAAUACAUCGGAAUCUACUUUUUCGUGGGGGAUAACGUAGGGAAACUUACGCUAAUACCGCAUACGACCUACGGGUGAAAGCAGGGGAUCUUCGGACCUUGCGCGAUUGAAUGAGCCGAUGUCGGAUUAGCUAGUUGGCGGGGUAAAGGCCCACCAAGGCGACGAUCCGUAGCUGGUCUGAGAGGAUGAUCCGCCACACUGGAACUUGGACCACGGCCCGACUCCUUAGGGAGGCAGCCGUGGGGAAUAUUGGACAAUGGGCGCAAGCCUGAUCCAGCCAUACCGCGUGGGUGAAGAAGGCCUUCGGGUUGUAAAGCCCUUUUGUUGGGAAAGAAAAGCAGCAGGUUAAUACCCCGCUGUUCUGACGGUACCCAAAGAAUAAGCCCCGGCUAACUUCGUG
rnacentral:rRNA from 1 species